rnacentral:rRNA from 1 species
UGCAUCCUACGGGGCGCAGCAGUGGGGGAUAUUGGACAAUGGGGGAAACCCUGAUCCAGCGAUGCCGCGUGAGGGAAGAAGGUUUUCGGAUUGUAAACCUCUGUGGAGGGGGACGAUAAUGACGGUACCCCUUUAGGAAGCCCCGGCUAACUACGUGCCAGCAGCCGCGGUAAUACGUAGGGGGCAAGCGUUAUCCGGAUUUACUGGGUGUAAAGGGAGCGUAGACGGAGGAGCAAGUCUGAUGUGAAAAUCCGGGGCCCAACCCCGGAACUGCAUUGGAAACUGUUUAUCUAGAGUGUCGGAGA